rnacentral:rRNA from 1 species
UACGAAGGGGGGCUAGCGUUGCUCGGAAUCACUGGGCGUAAAGCGCACGUAGGCGGACUCUUAAGUCGGUGGUGAAAUCCUGGAGCUCAACUCCAGAACUGCCUUCGAUACUGAGAGUCUUGAGUCCGGGGAGAGGUGAGUGGAACUGCGAGUGUAGAGGUGAAAUUCGUAGAUAUUCGCAAGAACACCAGUGGCGAAGGCGGCUCACUGGCCCGGUACUGACGCUGAGGUGCGAAAGCGUGGGGGAGCAAACAGG